AGACUUGCUGCAAAACUUCACAGCUUGCCUGGAAUGUCACUAACAUUUUAAAAGUUCAGGCCCUGUCAUGUCUUUGGGGUGUGCAAUCCUCAGAGAGGCUGUUUUCUACACAGUAUCCUGCAUAAUCUGGUUCACAUCUGUACAGACCUGGUGGCCUGCUCUAGUUUGCCAAAAUCCCAGGACACGAGAGUGCAAAAGUCCAUCACUCCGGUGCAGAAUCCAACCAGAUGAGGACGUACUGUGGCAGGACUUUGCAAUGGCCACGACACACAGGGAGAAGCAGAGACACAGAGGCAGAGGGAGAAGCAGAUUCCCUGCAGGGAGCCCGAUGCAGGACUCAAUCCUGGAUCCUGGGAUGACGCCCUGAGCUCAACCCUUGAGCCACCCAGUUGUCCCAACAUUUCACCUUUGCGAAGUCAACUUAAGGUAGAUAUCUUGACUUUGGGAAGAAUAGAAAAUUGUUGCUUCUGUCAUCUUUAAUGGUAUGUGAAUGGCCUUGAA